CUGCAAUAUCUUAACCACAAACCCUAGACAGCUCUCCAGCUACAAUGUGUCACUAUGGCCAAGAAGAAGCUACACAACCUUCUCUCCUUGCUGCAGAACAUGGGCUUGUGUGAUGUUUUCUCCUCCUCCUAUUACAACAUUUUCAUAAGGAUUUCCAGCAGCACUGUGAAGAAGCUUCAUUGUUUCCUUUUGAAGUGCCUUGAAUUAGUACCACACUAGCUGCUUUGUGAGAGAAAAAGAAAGGUUAGGAUGAGUACAGAAGACGCAUCAAGUGUAUUGUUUGGAGGAAGCAAAAGAUGAAUGAGAUGUAAAAGGGAGAUAGAAACUUGAGACACAGAAGGAAUCCGAAUUAUCUCAUAAGG